rnacentral:tRNA from 1 species
GCCUGGGUGGCUUAGUUGGUUAAGCAUCCGACUUCAGCUCAGAUCAUGAUCUCUCAGUCCAUGAGUUCGAGCCCCAUGUCGGGCU